rnacentral:misc_RNA from 1 species
GUGUAUGGCAAUGAUUAGAUCGAGUCUUUGUAUAGUCGUGUAAGAAAACUGUGUCGAGUAAUUGCAUUAAAAAGUCUUAAUGGGUUCAUCCUGAUGAAAUCAUUACGAUAGAGUUUUUGACGUGUUAGACGAGCCGAAAGCGUUUGCUUGUCUUACUUUUCGUUGUUGAUCGAAGCGAAUCAAAUUGAAAGGCUCCUUUACUCUGCGUGUUGUAACAAUAGUUCUACCGGAAUGUAAACACUAAUUCCACAACAUUUCAAAACUGAUGAUCUGCAAAGGGUCUACUAAAUAUUCUAGGCUAAAGAAAGACAACAAUCUGGGUUCCAGUAGUUGGCCAGUUGCUCUUCUGCCAUCCAACAGUCAGGAUCUCUCUUCAUUGCCUCAUGCCAAAGGAGAAUUUCUUGCCCUGGAUCAUCAUUUUGCUGAUUAUGUGCCAGUGAACUUUGCCACUUGUGGUUGUCACAUUUGAGUUUCUGUGUAUGUGAGUGGCUCAUCAUUUCUUCAUCCUACAACUACAUCAUUUGAAAUCAGUCAAAACAAUCCAUACUACAAAGAUGAAGCCUGGUCUCCCUGCCUCAGUUUCUCCCGCCGAAUACCAAUGGGCUUACUCGAUUGUCGAUUCGUCGCGAGUUUCUACUUUCCUCAUCUCCAUCUUGCUCAUCGUCUACGGGAGUUUCAGAUCGUUGAAUCUGGAACAAGAAGCUCAAACUAAACAGUUGGAAAAAGACAAAGAACGGGCCACCUUGACGGGCAUCACGACACCCACAGUUCCUUCUGAACCCAGUAUUUAUAGCUAUGUUCAGACGUUGGAUACGAUGCAAGCGCUGUGCUUACCGCUUGGCGCAUCCGUUUCCCUCCUUGUCAUGUUCUUCUUCUUUGAUUCGAUGCAGCUGCUUUUCGCCGUCUGUACGGCCAUUAUCGCCACGGUAGCUUUGGCAUUCCUAUUGCUUCCCAUGUGCCAGUAUCUCAGCCGGCCGUGUACUUCUGGAACAAAUAAAAUCUCCUUUGGCAUUUGCGGCCGUUUCACUGGCGCCGAGCUACUGUCCUUCAGUAUGGCCCUGACUAUCGUCUGCGUUUGGAUCCUUACUGGCCAUUGGCUGCUGAUGGAUGCUAUGGGCAUGGGUUUGUGCGUGGCAUUCAUUGCUUUCGUCCGUCUGCCCAGCCUCAAAGUGUCCACGCUCUUGCUGACUGGCCUGCUCGUUUAUGACGUUUUCUGGGUCUUCUUCUCUUCGUACAUCUUCAACGCCAACGUGAUGGUCAAGGUAGCUACCCGCCCUGCUGAUAAUCCGGUUGGUGUCAUGGCCAAGAAGUUCCAUUUUACGUCUGGAAUGGCCCGUGACGCACCCAAACUCUCACUGCCCGGCAAGCUCGUCUUCCCUAGCAUGCAUAAUGUUGGCCAUUUUUCCAUGCUGGGCUUGGGUGAUAUUGUCAUGCCCGGAUUGUUGUUGUGCUUCGUUUUACGCUACGAUGCCUACAAGAAGUCGCAAUUGCUCCACUCUGCCGAAACGGGAGUCCCUCCGCCUAAUCACUUCAACCGAAUCACAUACUUCCACUGCUCGCUGAUUGGCUACUUUCUUGGCCUGCUGACAGCCACGCUCUCGUCCGAGUUCUUUAAAGCUGCCCAGCCUGCGUUGUUGUACCUAGUGCCAUUUACGCUAUUGCCGCUGCUUGUUAUGGCCUAUCUCAAGGGUGAUUUGAGGCGGAUGUGGGAUGAGCCUUUCAUUGCUCCCCCGCAACCUAAACAACUGCAUGUCUAAAUACUAAAAACUCCUUGGUUAUGUAUACGGAGGUAUAGCAUCUGCAUUUUUAAUACCUGUGUGUGACUGACGUUGGACAUGAAGCAAAGAAAAGGUGAAUCGUUUUUUCUUUUCGAUUUGGAAACGCAGCGGACUCCUAGUCAAAAGCCCAGCCGCCGGACCGACGUGUCUUUCGACUACGGUGAAACUACAAAAAGUUUUUUCUUUCGUUUACAAAAAUUGAAGUAGCUAAGCUAACGGUGAAAGUGGAUGCAUGCCACACUUGCCGACAUUUUAAUACCACACCCUCUUUUUUACUUUCUCUCAAAUGAAGAACGAACAAAAAAUUAAUUAAGUCUUACAAAUGAAAUUGCGCAACUCAAUGGUAAAAUAGGACUAUCGCAAACAUUAGUGUGCAUAAAUUAAAAAGUAGAAAAAGCGGUCUUUUUUAAUUACUUUUGCAUGACCUUUUCCUCCUUGGAAAUUCAUUUUUUUUUAAAUCCUUGCAACCAGCGACAAAUGUAUGGACGUUAUAUUAUAUAUACUCGUGUGCGAUGUUUUUAUUUUCAUUUUCUGGUACCCAACAGAUGUUCUCUCUGGACCACAAUCAAUUCUCUUUUUAGCGAAGUAGAAACUUUGAAAAAGAAUAUUUCUCAUGUUGUGUCAAAUCUCACAACAUCAUCCGUUUUCUCAUUUUAUUUGUCUCGAAACAUUUUGAAGAUAAUGUAGACAUUUCCCUUCGAUACCCCCGUUUCCCUCGUUUUUUUUUCUAUGGUUUUGUUGCCCCCCGGAAUAUGGAAAAUAUAAAAUUAAUUGUCUUAAAA